UGAAGGUGUCAUGCACAGCUUAUGCUGUAUUCUAAUUCCCAAUAUAGAUCUGUGUUAUAGCAAGGGCAUGCCUUCUGUGACAGAAUUAUAUACCUUAGAAAAAAAUAGCUUCCAGUGGGUAUUGGAACAAAAGACCUGGGAGAUAUCACUGUAGUAAGUAGCUGUAAGCCACUCUAUGGAUGACCCUCUUCUACAGUUUAUUAGGAGAUAAAAUACACAGAAAAUAAGUAUAGACUUCAACCGCUCUGUGGCAAUUCUUCGAAAUUCCUGGUCUGAGGCAAACUGACCUCCUUCAUUUUUGAAAUGCACCUUCUACUUAACUCAUCUAGUCUCUGAAUAAUUUUUCUCAUUACUUAACAAAUAGCAAUUUCCAUACAGUUGACUUGCUUAUUUCUUAAAUCCUGACUUAGCCACACAUUCUUGUUCAUCAGCCAAUAAAGUAGAAACUACUAACAUCUCCCACAAGAUUAAAUACCUCUUGCAGUGUCUUUUCUAGCUCUUGGCAACCUAGGAGUCCUUGAGACUGAAAACUGUCAUCAUAAAACAGCUAAGGGUUCCAGGUAAAUAUCAAUUGUUUUUUGCAACAUUUGGAGCCUGAACUACAUGGUCAACAUGGCAAGACUAAGCUUUUAUAUCUCUGAAAAGCAGCUCCUCUGAGUACAACAGCAUUUUCAGGAAUGCAAGCACAGCCUGCAGUCAAGCAUGCCUUCAGAACUCAGACUCCUAGCUCAUGGGAUUAGGGAGAAGAUCAGCUCAUCCUGGCAACUGGCUGUUGCUCCCCUCCUAGGAUGGCAUGGCCACGCUGAACCCUAGCCCUAUACAGGAACACAGGACACAGACAAGGACUUACGCCAUUGGCUCCCCAGUUCUCAGGCCUCUCAACUCAGGUGAAUUACACCAGCUUCUCCAGCUUUCCAGCUUGCAGACAGCAGGUCAUGGGAUAUCUUGACCUCCAUAAUCAUUUUGUCUCUUCCAGAAUCAAAGCUGUAAAACUACAAAUCUUUCUUCAAAUGGAGCCCCAGAUGCAGCCCAUGACUAAGAUCUACCACAGACCCCUGGACCGACUUGCUAGCCCAUGCUCUGUUGUUGAUGACAUCGAAGGCACUCCUCCUGAGGAAAUCUCAACUGCACAACCCCUACUACACCCCAAUUCAGCAGGAAGCAGUUAGAGCAAUCAUCAGCCAACCUCCCCAAUAGCACUUGAGUUUUCAUGUUGAGGGGGCUACUGAGAGACAGGACUAGCUGGAUUUCCUAGGCCGACAAAGAAUUCCUAAGCCUAGCUGGGAAGGUGACCACACCCAUCUUUAAACACGGGGCUUGUAACUCAGUUCACACCCGACAAAUCAGGUAGUAAAGAGCGGCUCACUAAAAUACCAAUUAAGCUAAAGGCAGGAGGUAAAAGAAACAGUCAAUCAUCUAUCACCUGAGAACACAGAGGGAGAGACAAUGAUUGGGAUAUAAACCCCAGGCAUUCGAGCCAGGGGUGGGCAACCCCCUUUGGGUCCCCUCCCA
rnacentral:lncRNA from 1 species